GACAGAGGUGCCGAGCGUUAGGCGGAAUCACUGGGCUUAAAGCGUGUGUAGGCGGAUCCGUAAGUACCUUGUGAAAUCCCACGGCUCAACCGUGGAACUGCUUGGUAUACUGCGGGUCUUGAGCCACCUAGGGGCGAGCGGAACAAGUGGUGGAGCGGUGAAAUGCGUAGAUAUCACCUGGAACGCCAAUGGUGAAAACAGCUCGCUGGGGGUGUGCUGACGCUGAGACACGAAAGCCAGGGGAGCAAACGGG
rnacentral:rRNA from 1 species